AUACAUGCAGUCGAGCGAAUGGAUUGAGAGCUUGCUCUCAAGAAGUUAGCGGCGGACGGGUGAGUAACACGUGGGUAACCUGCCCAUAAGACUGGGAUAACUCCGGGAAACCGGGGCUAAUACCGGAUAACAUUUUGAACUGCAUGGUUCGAAAUUGAAAGGCGGCUUCGGCUGUCACUUAUGGAUGGACCCGCGUCGCAUUAGCUAGUUGGUGAGGUAACGGCUCACCAAGGCAACGAUGCGUAGCCGACCUGAGAGGGUGAUCGGCCACACUGGGACUGAGACACGGCCCAGACUCCUACGGGAGGCAGCAGUAGGGAAUCUUCCGCAAUGGACGAAAGUCUGACGGAGCAACGCCGCGUGAGUGAUGAAGGCUUUCGGGUCGUAAAACUCUGUUGUUAGGGAAGAACAAGUGCUAGUUGAAUAAGCUGGCACCUUGACGGUACCUAACCAGAAAGCCACGGCUAACUACGUGCCAGCAGCCGCGGUAAUACGUAGGUGGCAAGCGUUAUCCGGAAUUAUUGGGCGUAAAGCGCGCGCAGGUGGUUUCUUAAGUCUGAUGUGAAAGCCCACGGCUCAACCGUGGAGGGUCAUUGGAAACUGGGAGACUUGAGUGCAGAAGAGGAAAGUGGAAUUCCAUGUGUAGCGGUGAAAUGCGUAGAGAUAUGGAGGAACACCAGUGGCGAAGGCGACUUUCUGGUCUGUAACUGACACUG
rnacentral:rRNA from 1 species